UACGAAGGGGGCUAGCGUUGCUCGGAAUUACUGGGCGUAAAGCGCACGUAGGCGGACCGAUAAGUCGGGGGUGAAAUCCUGGAGCUCAACUCCAGAACUGCCUUCGAAACUGCCGGUCUUGAGUUCGGGAGAGGUGAGUGGAACUGCGAGUGUAGAGGUGAAAUUCGUAGAUAUUCGCAAGAACACCAGUGGCGAAGGCGGCUCACUGGCCCGAUACUGACGCUGAGGUGCGAAAGCGUGGGGAGCA
rnacentral:rRNA from 1 species